rnacentral:rRNA from 1 species
GACGAACCGUCCUAACGUUGUUCGGAAUCACUGGGCUUAAAGGGCGCGUAGGCGGGCCACCAAGUCUGGGGUGAAAUCUUUCGGCUUAACCGGAAAAUAGCCUUGGAUACUGGUGGUCUGGAGGGUGGUAGGGGCAUGUGGAACUUCCGGUGGAGCGGUGAAAUGCGUUGAUAUCGGAAGGAACGCCGGUGGCGAAAGCGACGUGCUGGACCACUUCUGACGCUGAGGCGCGAAAGCCAGGGGAGCAAACGGG